ACGUUUUUUUCAUAGAGAUUUAGAUUUAAGGUUAGAAGAAUUGUGGAAGUCGUGAGACUUCCCUUUUUUUCACCUUAAAAUGUUUUCCUUAUUUGUUACCGUUGGGCUAAAUGCUAAAAUCCAGUUCCGAUAAGGGAACAAAAAAGCUCUUUCGUAAGAAAGAGCUUUUUU
rnacentral:sRNA from 1 species